rnacentral:rRNA from 1 species
AUUGAACGCUGGCGGCGUGCCUAACACAUGCAAGUCGAGCGGCAGCGCGGGGCAACCCUGGCGGCGAGCGGCGGACGGGUGAGUAACGCUUGGGAAUCUGCCUGUUAGUGGGGGAUAACUCGGGGAAACUCGAGCUAAUACCGCAUACGCACUACGGUGGAAAGCCGGGACCGCAUGGCCUGGCGCUAACAGAUGAGCCCAAGUCGGAUUAGCUAGUUGGUAGGGUAAUGGCCUACCAAGGCGACGAUCCGUAACUGGUCUGAGAGGACGACCAGUCACACCGGAACUGAGACACGGUCCGGACUCCUACGGGAGGCAGCAGUGGGGAAUAUUGGACAAUGGGCGAAAGCCUGAUCCAGCGACGCCGCGUGGGUGAAGAAGGCCUGCGGGUUGUAAAGCCCUUUCGGUGGGAAGAAAAGCCUCGACCUAAUACGUCGGGGUCUUGACGUAACCCAUAGAAGAAGCACCGGCUAACUCUGUGCCAGCAGCCGCGGUAAUACAGAGGGUGCGAGCGUUAAUCGGAAUUACUGGGCGUAAAGCGCGCGUAGGCGGCUUUGCAAGUCGGGUGUGAAAUCCCAGGCUUAACCUGGGAACUGCACCCGAGACUGCAUUGCUAGAGUAUGGGAGAGGGAAGUGGAAUUUCCAGGUGUAGCGGUGAAAUGCGUAGAUAUCUGAAGGAACAUCAGUGGCGAAAGCGACUUCCUGGACCAAUACUGACGCUCAUGUGCG